GCUUUCAACAUCCCCGUCUCAGAGGUGAAAAGACGGUUCCGGCCUGGCCGGCGCCCGACGACCUUUGUGAGACUGAAGGC
rnacentral:sRNA from 2 species